UACGGGGGGGCAAGCGUUGUUCGGAAUUACUGGGCGUAAAGGGUUCGUAGGUGGCCAACUAAGUCAUGCGUGAAAUCCCUCAGCUUAACUGGGGAACUGCGCCUGAUACUGGUGUGGCUUGAGUGCAGGAGAGGAACGCGGAAUUCCAGGUGUAGCGGUGAAAUGCGUAGAUAUCUGGAGGAACACCGGUGGCGAAGGCGGCGUUCUGGACUGCAACUGACACUGAGGAACGAAAGCCAGGGGAGCAAACGGGAUUAGAAACCCCUGUAGU
rnacentral:rRNA from 1 species